rnacentral:rRNA from 1 species
UGGGGAAUUUUGGACAAUGGGCGAAAGCCUGAUCCAGCCAUGCCGCGUGCAGGAUGAAGGCCUUCGGGUUGUAAACUGCUUUUGUACGGAACGAAAAGCCUCUUUCUAAUAAAGAGGGGUCAUGACGGUACCGUAAGAAUAAGCACCGGCUAACUACGUGCCAGCAGCCGCGGUAAUACGUAGGGUGCAAGCGUUAAUCGGAAUUACUGGGCGUAAAGCGUGCGCAGGCGGUUUUGUAAGACAGAGGUGAAAUCCCCGGGCUCAACCUGGGAACUGCCUUUGUGACUGCAAGGCUGGAGUGCGGCAGAGGGGGAUGGAAUUCCGCGUGUAGCAGUGAAAUGCGUAGAUAUGCGGAGGAACACCGAUGGCGAAGGCAAUCCCCCUGGGCCUGCACUGACGCUCAUGCACGAAAGCGUGGGGAGCAAACAGGAUUAGAUACCCUGGUAGUCCACGCCCUAAACGAUGUCAACUGGUUGUUGGGGUCUUCACUGACUCAGUAACGAAGCUAACGCGUGAAGUUGACCGCCUGGGGAGUACGGCCGCAAGGUUGAAACUCAAAUGAAUUGAC